rnacentral:rRNA from 1 species
GAUGAACGCUGGCGGCGUGCCUAAUACAUGCAAGUCGAGCGAACAGACGAGGAGCUUGCUCCUCUGACGUUAGCGGCGGACGGGUGAGUAACACGUGGAUAACCUACCUAUAAGACUGGGAUAACUUCGGGAAACCGGAGCUAAUACCGGAUAAUAUAUUGAACCGCAUGGUUCAAUAGUGAAAGACGGUUUUGCUGUCACUUAUAGAUGGAUCCGCGCCGCAUUAGCUAGUUGGUAAGGUAACGGCUUACCAAGGCAACGAUGCGUAUCCGACCUGAGAGGGUGAUCGGCCACACUGGAACUGAGACGCGGUCCAGACUCCUACGGGAGGCAGCAGUAGGGAAUCUUCCGCAAUGGGCGAAAGCCUGACGGAGCAACGCCGCGUGAGUGAUGAAGGUCUUCGGAUCGUAAAACUCUGUUAUUAGGGAAGAACAAAUGUGUAAGUAACUAUGCACGUCUUGACGGUACCUAAUCAGAAAGCCACGGCUAACUACGUG